GACGAACGCUGGCGGCGUGCUUAACACAUGCAAGUCGAACGGAAAGGCGCUGCUCUUGGUGGGUUCGCGAGUGGCGAACGGGUGAGUAACACGUGUGUAACCUGCCCUGGACUUUGGGAUAACUUCACGGAACUGGGGCGAAUACCGGAUAGGAGCUCCUGCGGCAGGUUGUGGGUUGGAAAGUUUCGGCGGUGCGGGAGGUGCGCGCGGCUUAUCCGCUUGUUGGGGUGGUAGUGGAUGACAAGGGCUUUGAAGGGUAGCCUGCCUGGGAGGGUUACCCGGCACAUUGGGCCUGAGGUAGGGACCAGACUGCAACGGGCGGCAGCGGUGGAAGACAUUGCCCAACGGGCGGCAGCCUGAUGCAACAACUCCGCGUGCGGGAUGACGGCCUUCGGGUUGUAAACCGCUUUCGCCUGAGACGAAGCGGGAGUGACGGUAACGGGUAAGGAAGCACCGGCUAACUACGUG
rnacentral:rRNA from 1 species